GACGAACGCUGGCGGCGUGCUUAACACAUGCAAGUCGAACGGAAAGGCCCUGCUUGCAGGGUACUCGAGUGGCGAACGGGUGAGUAACACGUGGGUGAUCUGCCCUGCACUUCGGGAUAAGCCUGGGAAACUGGGUCUAAUACCGGAUAGGAGCCAUUUUUAGUGUGAUGGUUGGAAAGUUUUUUCGGUGUAGGAUGAGCUCGCGGCCUGUCAGCUUGUUGGUGGGGUAGUGGCCUACCAAGGCGGCGAGGGGUAGCCGGCCUGAGAGGGUGGACGGCCAAGUUGGGACGGGACUGAGACCCGGCCCCCAACGGGGGGGGGGGGUGGAGAAGGUUACAUAGGGGGCUGAGCCCUAGUCUGAGGCAGCCGGGUGGGGGGAGUGGUCAAGGGGUUUGGAACGUCUUUCCCUGUGGACGGAGAUUUUUAUGACGGUAACCUGAGAAGAAGGCCCGGCUAAAUUCGUG
rnacentral:rRNA from 1 species